rnacentral:rRNA from 1 species
ACGGAAGGCAGCAGUGGGGAAUAUUGCACAAUGGGGGAAACCCUGAUGCAGCUACGCCACGUGUGGGAAGAAGCAUUUCGGUGUGUAAACCACUGUCGUGAAGGAAUAAUGCUGGACCUCGGUCCAGUUGAAUGUACUUUGAAAGGAAGCACCGGCAAACUUCGUGCCAGCAGCCGCGGUAAUACGAGGGGUGCAAGCGUUGUUCGGAAUCACUGGGCGUAAAGGGAGCGCAGGCGGAGAUGCAAGCAGUCUGUACAAUACCGGGGCCCAACCCCGGACCUGCAGACUGGACUGUGUCUCUUGGAUAGUUCAGGGGCAGGCGGAAUUCCUGGUGUAGCGGUGGAAUGCGUAGAGAUCAGGAAGAACACCGAUGGCGAAGGCAGCCUGCUGGGGACUCAUCGACGCUGAGGCUCGAAAGUGCGGGCAGCAAACAGGAUUAGAUACCCUGGUA